AUUGAACGCUGGCGGCAUGCCUUACACAUGCAAGUCGAACGGCAGCGGACCUUCGGGUGCCGGCGAGUGGCGAACGGGUGAGUAAUAUAUCGGAACGUACCUUUCAGUGGGGGAUAACGUAGCGAAAGUUACGCUAAUACCGCAUAUUCUGUGAGCAGGAAAGCAGGGGAUCGCAAGACCUUGCGCUGAUUGAGCGGCCGAUAUCAGAUUAGCUAGUUGGUGAGGUAAAGGCUCACCAAGGCGACGAUCUGUAGCGGGUCUGAGAGGAUGAUCCGCCACACUGGAACUGAGACACGGUCCAGACUCCUACGGGAGGCAGCAGUGGGGAAUUUUGGACAAUGGGCGCAAGCCUGAUCCAGCCAUGCCNCGUGAGUGAAGAAGGCC
rnacentral:rRNA from 1 species